rnacentral:tRNA from 1 species
GCCUGGGUGGCUUAGUUGGUUAAAGCGUCUGACUUCAGCUCAGGUCAUGAGUUCAAGUCCUGCAUCAGGCU